ACGAACGCUGGCGGCGUACUUAACACAUGCAAGUCGAACGGAAGGGCCCUGCUUUUGUGGGGUGCUCGAGUGGCGAACGGGUGAGUAACACGUGAGUAACCUGCCCUUGACUUUGGGAUAACUUCAGGAAACUGGGGCUAAUACCGGAUAGGAGCUCCUGCUGCAUGGUGGGGGUUGGAAAGUUUCGGCGGUUGGGGAUGGACUCGCGGCUUAUCAGCUUGUUGGUGGGGUAGUGGCUUACCAAGGCUUUGACGGGUAGCCGGCCUGAGAGGGUGACCGGCCACAUUGGGACUGAGAUACGGCCCAGACUCCUACGGGAGGCAGCAGUGGGGAAUAUUGCACAAUGGGCGGAAGCCUGAUGCAGCAACGCCGCGUGCGGGAUGACGGCCUUCGGGUUGUAAACCGCUUUCGCCUGUGACGAAGCGUGAGUGACGGUAAUGGGUAAAGAAGCACCGGCUAACUACGUG
rnacentral:rRNA from 1 species